CAGCAGCCACGGUAAUACGAGGGGGGCAAGCGUUGUUCGGAAUUACUGGGCGUAAAGCGCACGUAGGCGGCUUGGUAAGUUAGAGGUGAAAGCCCGGAGCUCAACUCCGGAAUUGCCUUUAAGACUGCCGAGCUAGUAGGUGAGAGAGGUAAGUGGAAUUCCGAGUGUAGAGGUGAAAUUCGUAGAUAUUCGGAAGAACACCAGUGGCGAAGGCGGCUUACUGGCUCAUUCUAGACGCUGAGGUGCGAAAGCGUGGGGAGCAAACAGGAUUAGAUACCCCUGUAGUCCCUGUCUCUUAUAC
rnacentral:rRNA from 1 species